GAUGAACGCUGGCGGCGUGCCUAAUACAUGCAAGUCGAGCGAACAGACGAGGAGCUUGCUCCUCUGACGUUAGCGGCGGACGGGUGAGUAACACGUGGAUAACCUACCUAUAAGACUGGGAUAACUUCGGGAAACCGGAGCUAAUACCGGAUAAUAUAUUGAACCGCAUGGUUCAAUAGUGAAAGACGGUUUUGUUGUCACUUAUAGAUUGAUCCGCGCCGCAUUAGCUAGUUGGUAAGGUAACGGCUUACCAAGGCAACGAUGCGUAGCCGACCUGAGAGGGUGAUCGGCCACACUGGAACUGAGACACGGUCCAGACUCCUACGGGAGGCAGCAGUAGGGAAUCUUCCGCAAUGGGCGAAAGCCUGACGGAGCAACGCCGCGUGAGUGAUGAAGGUCUUCGGAUCGUAAAACUCUGUUAUUAGGGAAGAACAAAUGUGUAAGUAACUAUGCACGUCUUGACGGUACCUAAUCAGAAAGCCACGGCUAACUACGUG
rnacentral:rRNA from 1 species